rnacentral:rRNA from 1 species
GAUGAACGCUGGCGGCGUGCCUAAUACAUGCAAGUCGAGCGAACGGACGAGAAGCUUGCUUCUCUGAUGUUAGCGGCGGACGGGUGAGUAACACGUGGAUAACCUACCUAUAAGACUGGGAUAACUUCGGGAAACCGGAGCUAAUACCGGAUGAUAUUUUGAACCGCAUGGUUCAAAAGUGAAAGACGGUCUUGCUGUCACUUAUAGAUGGAUCCGCGCUGCAUUAGCUAGUUGGUAAGGUAACGGCUUACCAAGGCAACGAUGCAUAGCCGACCUGAGAGGGUGAUCGGCCACACUGGAACUGAGACACGGCCCAGACUCCUACGGGAGGCAGCAGUAGGGAAUCUUCCGCAAUGGGCGAAAGCCUGACGGAGCAACGCCGCGUGAGUGAUGAAGGUCUUCGGAUCGUAAAACUCUGUUAUUAGGGAAGAACAUAUGUGUAAGUAACUGUGCACUUCUUGACGGUACCUAAUCAGAAAGCCACGGCUAACUACGUG